rnacentral:rRNA from 1 species
UAGAGUUUGAUCAUGGCUCAGAGUGAACGUUGGCGGCGUGCCUAACACAUGCAAGUCGAACGAGAACCAAGAAGCUUGCUUUUGGGGAAAGUGGCGAACGGGUGAGUAACACGUGAGUAACCUGCCCUCGAGUGGGGAAUAACUUCGCGAAAGCGAGGCUAAUACCGCAUAAUAUUUCGAAACACAAGUUUUCGAAAUCAAAGCUUUCGAGCGCUUGAGGAUGGGCUUGCGUCCUAUUAGCUAGUUGGUGGGGUAAUGGCCUACCAAGGUGACGAUGGGUAGCCGGCCUGAGAGGGUGAUCGGCCACACUGGAACUGCGACACGGUCCAGACUCCUACGGGUGGCAGCAGUGGGGAACUUUGCGCAAUGGGCGAAAGCCUGACGCAGCGACGCCGCGUGGAGGAUGACGGCCUUCGGGUUGUAAACUCCUGUCAGAGGUGAAGAAAAUCUUCGGAUUGACGGUAACCUCAGAGGAAGCCCCGGCUAACUACGUGCCAGCAGCCGCGGUAAUACGUAGGGGGCAAACGUUGCUCGGAAUUACUGGGCGUAAAGGGUGUGCAGGUGGCUGAGAAAGUCGAUGAUGAAAUUCCGAGGCUUACCUUCGGAACUGUCAUCGAAACUGCUUGGCUUGAGGAUGGUUGAGGAAGACGGAAUUCCCGGUGGAGCGGUGAAAUGCGUAGAUAUCGGGAGGAACACCAGAGGCGAAGGCGGUCUUCUGAGCCACUCCUGACACUGAGACACGAAAGCUAGGGGAGCGAACGGGAUUAGAUACCCCGGUAGUCCUAGCUGUAAACGAUGGGCACUAGAUGUUCUCGCUUAUUGCGGGAGUG